GACGAACGCUGGCGGCGUGCCUAAUACAUGCAAGUUGAGCGCUGAAGGUUGGUACUUGUACCGACUGGAUGAGCAGCGAACGGGUGAGUAACGCGUGGGGAAUCUGCCUUUGAGCGGGGGACAACAUUUGGAAACGAAUGCUAAUACCGCAUAAAAACUUUAAACACAAGUUUUAAGUUUGAAAGAUGCAAUUGCAUCACUCAAAGAUGAUCCCGCGUUGUAUUAGCUAGUUGGUGAGGUAAAGGCUCACCAAGGCGAUGAUACAUAGCCGACCUGAGAGGGUGAUCGGCCACAUUGGGACUGAGACACGGCCCAAACUCCUACGGGAGGCAGCAGUAGGGAAUCUUCGGCAAUGGACGAAAGUCUGACCGAGCAACGCCGCGGGAGUGAAGAAGGUUUUCGGAUCGUAAAACUCGGUUGGUAGAGAAGAAAGUCGGUGAGAGUGGAAAGCUCAUCAAGUGACGGUAACUACCCAGAAAGGGACGGCUAACUACGUG
rnacentral:rRNA from 1 species